rnacentral:rRNA from 1 species
UACACAUGCAGUCGAGCGGAUGAAGGAGAGCUUGCUCCUGGAUUCAGCGGCGGACGCGGUGAUUAAUGCCUAGGAAUCUGCCUGGUAGUGGGGGAUAACGUCCGGAAACGGGCGCUAAUACCGCAUACGUCCUGAGGGAGAAAGUGGGGGAUCUUCGGACCUCACGCUAUCAGAUGAGCCUAGGUCGGAUUAGCUAGUUGGUGGGGUAAAGGCCUACCAACGCGACGAUCCGUAACUGGUCUGAGAGGAUGAUCAGUCACACUGGAACUGAGACACGGUCCAGACUCCUACGGGAGGCAGCAGUGGGGAAUAUUGGACAAUGGGCGAAAGCCUGAUCCAGCCAUGCCGCGUGUGUGAAGAAGGUCUUCGGAUUGUAAAGCACUUUAAGUUGGGAGGAAGGGCAGUUAGUUAAUACCUUGCUGUUUUGACGUUACCAACAGAAUAAGCACCGGCUAACUUCGUGCCAGCAGCCGCGGUAAUACGAAGGGUGCAAGCGUUAAUCGGAAUUACUGGUCGUAAAGCGCGCGUAGGUGGUUCAGCAAGUUGGAUGUGAAAUCCCCGGGCUCAACCUGGGAACUGCAUCCAAAACUACUGAGCUAGAGUACGGUAGAGGGUGGUGGAAUUUCCUGUGUAGCGGUGAAAUGCGUAGAUAUAGGAAGGAACACCAGUGGCGAAGGCGACCACCUGGACUGAUACUGACACUGAGGUGCGAAAGCGUGGGGAGCAAACAGGAUGAGAUACCCUGGUAGUCCACGCCGUAAACGAUGUCGACUAGCCGUUGGGAUCC